UCGGGUGUGGCCAAGUGGUAAGGCAGCGGUCUUUGGAUCCGCGAUCCCAAGUUCGAAUCUUGGCACCCGAGCCA
rnacentral:tRNA from 1 species